GGACAGAGCAACAGCAGAGUGAGAAGACGUGCUCUGACACAGACACUGGUUGAAACAACAGGAGAGGCUUCAGACGUGAUCGGCCCAAUAGAGCUGCAUCUGAGGAUCCAGGAAAGGUCUGUCAUCGAGGAACAACUGUCCCAUCGAAAGGCUUCACCCACUGGCGCUCACAUCAGACUGAUGGUUGGGGAAGGAGGAAGGUGACGGUUCCUUUUCACGUGACGUACAAGACGGAACACAGACUCUGGCUGACGAAUGGUUCCACCUGUAGCCAUGGAGUCUGGUUUGGGCCUGAUGGCAGCCGUGCCGCCCAAACACCUUUUCCCCACAAUUCAGAUUUCCAACAGGUGAAAACAGGCGACAGGACCAUUACACCAUCCAACGAGGGGACUGGCGAUCGUUAGGAGUUCAGGAGGAAGCAUUGGGACUCCAAACGAUGGCGAGGCCCCCUUCCAGGUCCUUCUGACGACCCACCGACUGGUGAAGAUCACAGAAAGAGUGACUUGGAUCCACUCCAUCCAGGAAGGUCCCGGAUCCGACAGACGACCCUCCAUCUACACCACACGAGAAAACCACCACUGACGAAAAGAAUUAAGAAGGACGACCCUCGCUGUGCUCACACACGCACUGAGGCGAGGCCCUGCCGUGACCGUUCAGCUAAGGGUGAGUCCAAGCGCCGCCUGAAGCUGCGCCGGUGAAUCACACUAUCAGACCAUACAUCUACACACACGUUCCUGAGGAAAACACACACACGAGCAGCCUUGAGUUGCCGACGCUGGACGACGUGUAGACUCUUCACAUCACGGGAGUGACAGUGACUCAGAGGACAUUGGGAGGAACCUGACGGUGAUAACGAACCCCAAGUGUCUCUGUGAUCAGCUGAUCACAACCUGAAGAACUCCAACGAACUGUCAAUACAUCAACACACAGGUUGGAAACAAUUUAGCGCUACUGUUCAACAGGAAGAAGCAGAUUGUUACAAGACAUCAAUUGUAACCAUGUUGCGUUAAACAUUUUAUGUUACUCUGAUUAUUGCCUUGAUCAUAUGAUGUUUCCAUGUAACUUUACACAAUACUUUUGAAUGAGAAAAUUUCACAUAAUUCACAACACUGAGUUUAAAUAUUAAUUUGGUGUUAAUUUGCUUCACAAUCACUUAUUCAUGCUUACAAUUCGUUUUUAUCCUUCAUCUACAGAUGACAGAGGUUAUGAGACAAAACGCAUCAUCAUUCUGGUUAAAUCCCUGAAUCUCCUAUUCGCUCUAGACGCAAAUGUACAAUUAAAGAUUCGAAAGCAUGAAAUCUAUCUUAAGAUUAUAUGAAUCAGAACCCCACCGGAAACCUAUGGCUAUCAUAAAUUAAUUGUCUUAUUACAUUACAAUCGAAUGGCCGUAGACAUGGUUGUUAGCAGAGAAAAGAGGCCUUUGUGUAUGUUUGGAGACGCAUGUUGUACUUACAUCCUGAAUAACACUGAUUCUAAUGGUAUUGUGGCGAAGGCGCUACACACGGGCCUUCAGAAUCUCAGCUAACUCUGGUAUAGGUUCUUUCCCUUGGAAUGGCUAGACGAAAUGUCUGGAAAAUGGAAAUCUGUUCUAAUGUCCACAGCUGUUUCCUUUAUCAUUGAGAGGGCUGUGAUUCUCUUGUUGGUUUUUGCGUUUUAUCCCACUGGUUAGAGGUCUCAUCAUGCGUGCGACCUCAGCAACACUCGUAUCAAAUGACACAAGGCACUAUGUUCAAAAACCCCAACUCUAACCUCACUUAAUGACUUUGACGAUGGUAUGGGCUCAUUUUCUUCACAUGCCGAUACAGAAUUUAUCUGUAUAACUACCACCAAAGUGAAGGUUAUUUUGAAUCUGAGAGUUAAUACCCUAUUGUUUCAUUUGCAAGGAUCUUUUAUUAUUACAGGAUGUGAUGUUGACAAUUUUUAUUCCUUUAUGGUUUGAUUAAUGUGUAAUCAAAAGGGGGGGAGUGUUAUGGAAAAAUUGUCUCUCCUUAUUUUUAUGUGUCUUCCUUAUUUCUAUGCAUUUUCUAUGCAGUUAUUAUACGAUUUAGGACUUAUGUUCUGCAAAUAAUAUCUUUAAUGUUAUUGGUCUUACUGUAUGCAUUGACAUUUCACCUACAUUGUUCAAUGGUUGUCUCUGCCUGAUAGACUCUCAACUCUAGCUCCCAAACCCAAGGUCGGGGAGUUGUGUCUCUGUCGGUUGAGACUGGUGCUCCUUUCUCACAGAUAGUUGGACGUCAGCGCCGGCAGGUGUGAGAAAGUAAAAAUCUUCACACACACUGCGACAGGGAGGAGAUGCCGUUGCCUGUUAAUUUGAUGGGUUAGAAAGACAUUCCACCCUAGUCGGACAGAGAAGCUAAAAGGCAGAAGCAACUUGAGGAUCGUGGGCUCUUUGCCAUCACACUUCGUGGUGUGUGCACUGAUCUCCCCAGCUGGUUUUUGGUUUGUUGAUGUGCACGAUCAACAUCCAUGCUUUUUAUUUGCUUUCCCCAUUAUUUUUAUUUUCUUUAUUAUUUCAAUAAAUCGCACAAAAGGACAACUCUCUCUCA
rnacentral:lncRNA from 1 species